rnacentral:rRNA from 1 species
UACGUAGGGUGCGAGCGUUAAUCGGAAUUACUGGGCGUAAAGCGUGCGCAGGCGGUUUUGUAAGCCAGAUGUGAAAGCCCCGGGCUUAACCUGGGAAUGGCAUUUGGGACUGCAAGGCUGGAGUGUGGCAGAGGAGACUGGAAUUCCUGGUGUAGCAGUGAAAUGCGUAGAUAUCAGGAGGAAUACCGAUGGCGAAGGCAGGUCUCUGGCUGGACACUGACGCUCAUGCACGAAAGCGUGGGGAGCAAACAGG